rnacentral:rRNA from 1 species
GUAGGAUAGCGUAAUUAACGCGAUGAAGGAUGACCGUAAGGACAUGGUGGAGCGUUAACUAGUGAGAAUUCCGGUAUGAGUAGCGAAAGAUAGGUGAGAAUCCUAUCCACCGAAUGAGUAAGGUUUCCCCCGGAAGGCUCGUCCGCGGGGGGUUAGUCGGGACCUAAGGCGAGGCUGAAAAGCGUAGUCGAUGGACAACAGGUUGAUAUUCCUGUACCGAUAUUUAAUUGCCGAAGGAAGGACGCAGAAGGAUAACACAGGCCACUAUUGGAUGUGGUUUUAAACAGUUAGUCUUCAUAAGAGUCAAAUGCUUUUAUGUUUAAGGAUAAGCUGUGAAUGUACCAAGUUUACUUGGAAAUUGUGUGAUUUCACGCUGCUGAAAAAAGUUUCGUAGGAAGAAAAUAUUGCCCGUACCGCAAACCGACACAGGUACUCAAGUGGAGAACACUAAGGUGAGCGAGUGAACUAUUGUUAAGGAACUCUGCAAAAUGAGUCCGUAACUUCGGAAGAAGGACUGCUGGUUUUAUACCAGCCGCAGCAAAUAGGCCCAAACAACUGUUUAUCAAAAACACAGGUUUCUGCAAAAUCGUAAGAUGAAGUAUAGGGGCUGACGCCUGCCCAGUGCUGGAAGGUUAAAAGGAGGACUUAGCUUCGGCGAAGGUCUUAAUUGAAGCCCCAGUGAACGGCGGCCGUAACUAUAACGGUCCU